GGCUUUCAUUCACGGUGGAUUCUUCGCUUGUGAAUUUGGCUCCAGCAGAAGAACUUGGUGGCCUGGGCUACAAGGUUUUCCCUCCGAGGAGCUGUGACGUCACGUCUGCCGUGGCCCUGCUGUUCCACUGGCCCAAGACCAAUUUCUUUAUAGAUGUCCCAGCUGGACAAUUUCUACCCCUGCAGCUAAGGCACAAUCAGAGAGAGAGAGAGAGGGAGAAGACGCCAGUCCUGGACACACAAAAAGGUCACCUACCAGGUGGCUGUGGCAGUGGCUUGACACAGCUGUGAGGAAGUGGCAGCAGAGGAAACCUAUACACUAAUAAUACUUACGCAAUGCCAGGCCCUUUGCUGAGGUCGCAGUGAAGCCUUGUUCCUGGGUUUGCGGGUGAAGGAAAGAGCAAGAAGGGGAGAAGGCAACAGGCUGGACAUGAAGUUGUUUCCCAACAGUUGGAGAGGUGAACAGCCACGGGAGGGGGACAGAAUCCUGAGAACUGUGCCUACCCUGAGCAUCCAGAAAGACACACUUACUUACGUCCUCGUGGGCAUGUUAGCUUUGACCUGGGC
rnacentral:lncRNA from 1 species